GCUCCUGUAGCUUAGUGGCAAAAGCUCCCUCUUAUCGUAUUUCACGGAUGCCCAUGUGGAGGGUGACGUGGGUUCGAAUCCCGCCAGGAGCA